UAAGGAAUAUAGCUCAAUGGGAGAAAUCCUGAAGCAGCAACGCCGCGUGGAGGAUGAAGGGUCUAUGACUUGUAAACUCCUGUAAAGAAGGAAAAAAUUCCCAUUAGAUGGGAGAUGAUGGUACUUCUGGAGUAAGCCCCGGCUAACUACGUGCCAGCAGCCGCGGUAAUACGUAGGGGGCAAGCGUUGUCCGGAUUUACUGGGUGUAAAGGGUGCUCAGGCGGAUUUGUAAGUCAGAGGUGAAAUCUUACAGCUUAACUGUGAAACUGCCUUUGAUACUGCAAGCCUAGAGUAUGGAAGAGAGUGAUGGAAUAUCUGGUGUAGCAGUGAAAUGCGUAGAUAUCAGAUAGAACACCAAUGGCGAAGGCAGUCACUUGGUCCAUUACUGACGCUAAAGCACGAAAGCGUGGGUAGCAAACA
rnacentral:rRNA from 1 species